AAAUUGAAGAGUUUGAUCAUGGCUCAGAUUGAACGCUGGCGGCAGGCCUAACACAUGCAAGUCGAACGGUAACAGGAAGCAGCUUGCUGCUUCGCUGACGAGUGGCGGACGGGUGAGUAAUGUCUGGGAAACUGCCUGAUGGAGGGGGAUAACUACUGGAAACGGUAGCUAAUACCGCAUAACGUCGCAAGAC
rnacentral:rRNA from 2 species